rnacentral:rRNA from 1 species
AGGACGAACGCUGGCGGCGUGCUUAACACAUGCAAGUCGAGCGGAAAGGCCCUUCGGGGUACUCGAGCGGCGAACGGAUGAGUAACACGUGAGCAACCUGCCCUUAGCUUCGGGAUAGCUCCGGGAAACCGGAAUUAAUACCGAAUAUGAUUUUUGCUGACAUCAGCAGAAGUGGAAAGUUUUUCGGCUAGGGAUGGACUCGCGGCCUAUCAGCUAGUUGGUGAGGUAACGGCCCACCAAGGCGACGACGGGUA